UAUGAUUUAUCUGACCUAAAGGGAAAUAUUUAAAUGUCAACCCGGAAAUGGAGAGUGAAGUGAUCUGUGAUCAUCAUCCAUUUAUUUGAAUGGUUUCUACUCUCCGUCAUCGUCAACUGCAGCGACUCAUCCACAGCAGCCACUUCAGGUCAGCGCUACACCUACAUCGUCCUAAAUCUCCUACGAAAUCAGAUAGAUCAUCGCACUUUUCUCCUUUAGUUCCUCCUCGCAAGGUAAUCUUGAUUCGGAAGAACAGUGGACGAUGAUAAAGUUGUCAACUUGCUGAGCUGUGAUUGUUUCAUGGGCAAUACAUGCCGUGGAUUUUUAGGAGGCAAACACUUUCAGGGCUACGCCAAGCCCCAAGAUCAUUCCAUCUCCAAGCGUAACCCUUCUUCAGGCCAUUCUGACUCUUCUGCUAAUUACACCUCCCCUACCAGCUUGACCUCUUCCCAGAACAAAGAUCUUACUGGAGAUACCCAACCCAAUCCCAAUCCCAAAGCAGAUCAGCACCUCAGUGCCAAAAGGGACACCAUCAUGAAUCGUUCCACCAACAACCAGGCUUACUAUGUUCUAGGUCACAAGACCGCUAACAUUCGCGAUCUUUACACAUUGGGACGUAAAUUAGGCCAAGGUCAGUUUGGCACCACUUUUCUCUGCACCGAGAUUUCCACUGGUAUUGAGUAUGCUUGUAAGUCUAUUUCAAAGAGGAAGUUGAUCUCCAAAGAAGAUGUAGAGGAUGUUAGGAGGGAAAUUCAGAUAAUGCACCAUUUGGCUGGUCACAAAAAUAUUGUUAGUAUCAAGGGGGCUUAUGAGGACCCUUUAUAUGUUCAUAUUGUUAUGGAAUUAUGUAGUGGUGGUGAAUUGUUUGAUCGCAUUAUUCACCGUGGUCACUACAGUGAGAGAAAGGCUGCUGAAUUGACUAAGAUUAUUGUGGGAGUUGUUGAGGCAUGCCACUCACUUGGGGUUAUGCAUAGAGAUCUCAAACCAGAAAAUUUCUUAUUGGUUAACAAGGAUGAUGAUUUCUCACUCAAAGCAAUUGAUUUUGGACUCUCGGUUUUUUUCAACCCAGGCCAAAUUUUCACUGAUGUUGUUGGAAGCCCAUAUUAUGUUGCUCCUGAGGUGCUUAUGAAGAAUUACGGUCCAGAAGCAGAUGUGUGGACAGCAGGGGUCAUACUUUAUAUACUGUUAAGCGGUGUGCCGCCCUUUUGGGCUGAAACACAGCAAGGGAUAUUCGAUGCAGUUUUGAAAGGUGACAUUGAUUUUGAAUCAGAUCCUUGGCCCAUAAUUUCAGACAGUGCAAAGGAUCUAAUCCAGAAGAUGUUGUGCAUGCGGCCUUCUGAGCGCUUAACUGCUCAUGAAGUAUUAUGCCACCCUUGGAUUUGUAAGAAUGGUGUUGCUCCUGAUAGAGCAUUGGAUCCAGCUGUACUUUCUCGCCUUAAACAGUUUUCAGCUAUGAACAAGUUGAAGAAGAUGGCCUUACGGGUAAUAGCAGAAAGCCUAUCAGAAGAGGAGAUUGCUGGUUUAAGGGAGAUGUUUAAGGCCAUGGAUACUGAUAAUAGUGGUGCAAUUACAUUUGAUGAACUCAAAGCUGGUUUAAGAAAAUAUGGGUCUACUUUAAAGGAUACAGAAAUACGAGAACUAAUGGAUGCGGCUGAUGUGGAUAACAGUGGAACCAUAGAUUAUGGAGAAUUCGUAGCAGCGACAAUUCACCUUAACAAAUUAGAACGUGAAGAACAUCUUGUUGCAGCAUUUCAAUACUUUGACAAGGAUGGAAGUGGUUAUAUUACAGUUGAUGAGCUCCAGCAAGCUUGUGUAGAACAUAACAUGACAGAUGUUUUUUUUGAAGAUAUAAUCAGAGAAGUGGAUCAAGAUAAUGAUGGGCGGAUUGAUUAUGGAGAGUUUGUUGCUAUGAUGACAAAAGGAAAUGCGGGCAUUGGAAGACGAACUAUGCGAAACAGUUUGAAUAUCAGUAUGAGAGAUGCACCAGGAGCUCAUUAGCUUUUGAAAAGACAGAUCAUCUAUAGGGUGUACAGGAUUGAUGGCAGAUGAUGAUGCAGCAGAGCUUUUGUUAUGCGUGCAUGCUUUCCCUUGAGUUGCCAUAUGGGUGUAGAAAAUGUUGUAACCUUUGUACUUUGUAGACUCCAUCCAGUGUAUGAAAGAAAUUGUUUCAGCUACUUUUAAGGUAUUAAAUUGGCACCUUCUGCAGCAUUGAAGAUAUUGACCUAUAAACUUUUAUUUUGGACGC